UUUACCAUGGUAACAGGGAAGUCUUUUGCUGACAACUGUGGCGCUUGCAUUUUAGUUCCGCCCUAUCAAGGGAGGGAAAUGCUUGGGCGCGUCCCAGCAGAGUGCAUAUUAAUUUGCUAAAGCUGUGCGUGUUGGAGUGAGAUGAGGAAAGGGUAUGCUAGCCGAGAGAAACAUAGUUGAAGAAAUGGGAGAGUUCAUAGCAAAAUGAAGACAGAAGGUGGGAUGUUUCAUGCUGUUGUUGAUGUUAUGACUGAGCCUCAAUUAACGAUAUAGAAUCCUGUUCCUUCAAAGAAAGUUCAGAGUUGUUCACCUGCCCAAAGGAUGUGUUAUGAGAUAUGUUGUUUGGUAGAAGGCCAGGGAGUUCAACUGAAUUGGAGGAAGAUAUGCUCUAUUCUUGGCCAUGGCAUGAUGAGCUCUUAUUACUGAAUAAGGACUGCUUCAAAGCCAAUCAUUGGGAAAAACUAGGGAGAUGAGGUGGUUGUCAGGCCUCCAAGCCCAAGCCUGCAUAUAUAUACAUCCAGAUAACCUGAAGCAACUGAAGAAUCACAAAAGAAGUGAAAAUGGCCGGUUCCUGCCUUAACUGAUGACAUUACCUUGUGAAAUUCCUUCUCCUGGCUCAGACGCUCCCCAACUAAGCACCUUGUGACCCCAGCCCUUACCCCAACUAAGCACCUUGUGACCCCAGCCCUUGCCCGCAAGAGUACAACCCCCUUUGACUGUAAUUUUCCACUACCUACCCAAAUCCUAUAAAACAGCCCCACCCCAACUCCCUUUUGCUGACUCCUUUUUUAGACUCAGCCCACCUGCACCCAGGUGAAAUAAACAGCCU